UGGGGAAUCUUGCGCAAUGGGCGAAAGCCUGACGCAGCCAUGCCGCGUGAGUGAUGAAGGCCUUAGGGUUGUAAAACUCUUUCACCGGGGACGAUAAUGACGGUACCCGGAGAAGAAGCCCCGACUAACUUCGUGCCAGCAGCCGCGGUAAUACGAAGGGGGCUAGCGUUGCUCGGAAUUACUGGGCGUAAAGGGCGCGUAGGCGGAUCAGCAAGUUGGGGGUGAAAGCCCGGGGCUCAACCUCGGAAUUGCCUUCAAAACUGCUGAUCUAGAGUACGGGAGAGGUGUGUGGAACUCCGAGUGUAGAGGUGAAAUUCGUAGAUAUUCGGAAGAACACCAGUGGCGAAGGCGACACACUGGCCCGUUACUGACGCUGAGGCGCGAAAGCGUGGGGAGCGAACAGGAUUAGAUACCCUGGUAGUCCACGCUGUAAACGAUGAUUGCUAGUUGUCGGCAGGCAUGCCUGUCGGUGACGCAGCUAACGCAUUAAGCAAUCCGCCUGGGGGAGUACGGUCGCAAGAUUAAAACUCAAAUGAAUUGACGGGGGUCAUAGCUG
rnacentral:rRNA from 1 species